GUAGGUGGUUAUAUAAGUGAAUAGUGAAAGCCGGCGGCUCAACCGUACGGACUAUUAUUCAAACUGUAUAACUCGAGAAUGGUAGAGGUAACUGGAAUUUCUUGUGUAGGAGUGAAGUCCGUAGAUAUAAGAAGGAACACCAAUGGCGUAGGCAGGUUACUGGACCAUUUCUGACACUAAGGCACGAAAGCGUGGGGAGCGAACCGGAUUAGAUACCCGGGUAGUCCACGCCGUAAACGAUGGAUACUAGCUGUUGGAGGUACCGACCCCUUCAGUAGCGAAGCUAACGCGUUAAGUAUCCCGCCUGUGGAGUACGGUCGCAAGACUAAAACAUAAAGGAAUUGACGGGGACCCGCACAAGCGGUGGAUCGUGUUCUUUAAUUCGAUGCUAAACGAAAAACCUUACCAGGGUUUGACAUCCUUGGAAUCUUUCCGAAAGGAGAGAGUGCUUUAUUGAACCAAGUGACAGAUGAUGCAUGGCCGUCGUCAGCUCGUGUCGUGAGAUGUUUGGUUAAGUCCAUCAACGAGCGCAACCCUUAUAGUCUGUUGUAUUUUUCAGGCUAGACUGCCCCGGAAACGGGGAGGAAGGAGGGGAUGGGGUCAGGUCAGUAUCUCUCUUACAUCCUGGGCUAGAAACACGAUACAAUGGCUAGUACAAUGCGCAGCGAAGCCGCGAGGUGGAGCAAAUCGCAUCAAAGCUAGUCCCAGUUCGGAUUGGAGGCUGAAACUCGCCUCCAUGAAGUCGGAAUCGCUAGUAAUCGCAAAUCAGCAAGUUGCGGUGAAUACGUUCCCGGGUCUUGUACACACCGCCCGUCAAACCAUGAAAGUGACCAACACCCGAAGUCCGAUUCGUCGGCCUAAGGUGGGGGGCAUGGUUGGGGUU
rnacentral:rRNA from 1 species